CCGGGCUGCCUCCUCAUGGCGGUGGCGAGGUGAGCGACGUGGGGCGAGGCUGGCGCUGGUCCGACCGCCCCCGACCCGCCGCCGGGACGAUGAUGAAGUACUACCAGAGGGGGACCAGGGGCAGGAGGCUGAGGAAUUACCACCGGGAGGCAGAUGCCAGAGAAGCAGUAUUACACACAGGGGAUCGAGAGGGCAAGCCAAAGCGAAAAGGAGCCGGCGCUUUUUUUCAGAAUGCAUUUCUUUUGGAUGAGUGAAAUCGGCUGAAGGAAGAAGCGUGCGUUCUGCCUUUAUUUUGGGGAAAAAAAACCCCAAAACCAGACUUGAUUCAAUCUACCUGACAAAGCAGUAUCUGUGAUCCCGUCGGGGGAGCCACGACUGACCUUUCCAGAGAAGACCAUGGACGCCAAACCGGGAGCGCUGCGUUCAGGACGGAUGCCGCUUGUCUGGUCGCCAGCCCACUAGGAGGUCCCUCCGGGGGGGCGGGAGACCCCGGCUCAAGGAGGCCCCCAGAUGUGGGGAGACCCCGAGAAUGCAGCUGAAGCCUCUCCGCACGCUGGAUCGGAAGAUGAGGUUGUGUGGAGGCAAUUCUGCUGGAUUCCUGGGGACGCGGGGGCCGGUGUCUCGGUCGCCUCGGUCAAUUGGUCAGCUUCUUCGCCUUCUGUGACACCUUUAUGGGCUCCGCCACCGGUUAAUUGAGAGAGAGCAACUGCAGAGCAGAGAUAAAAAUCUCUGUUCCAGGAACCACAGUCCUGGGGAAUUCAAUCCACUAGAUCCUAGGCUCCCUAACCUCCUUAUGCCUUUAUCUGUAAGGGCUGAGUACAGUGGUUUCUACACAAGUCUGAAAAGUUUCUCUUCCACCGUAAUUUGGUGCCGUGACUCGGAUGACAACGCUCGACGAUGGUCUGGAGUGGUCCAUCUCUCAGUGACUCUCAAGUGCAACUGCAGAGCCUCAGCAGGUCCCAAAAUCCAGGGCCAUGGGAGAGCAUGGAUCCUACCUAACCUCAAAAGGUACCGGGCCCACCUUCGGCCCCUCCGUCCAACCUCGGUCCCCCCCGCUGAACGACGGCAAGCACCUUGACAAGCCAGAGGCUUGACCGGAUGAGCCUGGUUCUGAUCCUGAUCCUCGCAG